CUUCUUGCUCUACUAAACAAAAUUGCACAAAAGCCUUUCGGUUCAACUAAUUUUCUCAGGUCUCAUCAUGAAGCUUCGCGUGUUCAUCGUUGCUGUCCUGAUUGUGAUCAACUUGGGCACCUGCAUGGCAAAGGUUGGAUCUUACGGCACAACUGUGUCAGCGUCACCGAGGCAAAUCCGAGUACUUACCGCCGCAACUGAUGGAAGAAAUGGACCUCCCAGCAAUGAUCACCAGUGCCCGCUCGGGACCUACCCCAAUUGUUAAGCAAUGGAUGUAUCAAAACACUGAGGAACAGCUCAAAUACGUUCACGAAAAUUACACCCGUCUGUGCUGUUAGGGGAGCAUGAAUAUCAUGAACAUGGAUAGCUGUAUUGCCAUCCCACACAGUACUUGUUUUUAUUCUUGUGUACACGUCACUCUCUUAUAUAUACUUAAGAAAGAUGUAUUAAAUACAUUGAAUUCACUACUGUAAUCCGGCUUUUUGCCGAGUAUCAAACAAAAAAUGAUAGGAGAAAACACUCGAUAAAA